GCAUCUCUCCUCUGAGCUUGUCCUCCACAACAUCAACAAGGGCAAGUUCAUCAGCCAAGUCCUACAAGAGACCAAGAUUAAACAUUAAUAAAAGCAAGCCUGAUGUUGAAUACAGCAUUUUCAAUUUAACAAUGCAAUGCAGAGGAGAAGUCCAAGUGUCUAGGACCACUUUUUCCAGUCCACACUCAAAGAAGUAUUCCAUGACACUCUGCUUCAGACAAAAUGAUGCCUCAGUUCUUAGAAGGAAUUCUGCAAGUCAUUCAAAAGUUUUCCUGAGGACCUGCACAGACAUCAAAAGCACAGGCCCAAAACGCUUCCACCAUGGCUCACUUCUUUAAUACUUGCUGUUCUCUGGUCCUGUGGUAAUGCCUCCAAGGCUUCUACUCAUCUACCAAACUCUGCUUUACAACUGAAGGAAUGUUCUGCUGCUGUUCAAGGCACGCUAACGCCUUGUCACACACCAUCCCGCUGGCAGUUCCCUUCUGCUGUGGUGAUGUGAUGGGAAUGGUAGCCCAGUGCCUCAUCAUUUCUUUGGCAGUCCAUUGGCAAAGCAAAAGAAAGAAAAAACACCAGAGAGAAAACAUCUAUGAAUGCUAGAAACAUAGAAUAA